GACGAACGCUGGCGGCGUGCUUAACACAUGCAAGUCGAGCGGUAAGGCCCUUUCGGGGGUACGACGAGCGGCGAACGGGUGAGUAACACGUGGGUGACCUGCCCUUAGCUCUGGGAUAAGCCUGGGAAACUGGGUCUAAUACCGGAUAUGACUCCAUGACGCAUGUUGUGGGGUGGAAAGCCUUGUGCGGCUAGGGAUGGGCCCGCGGCCUAUCAGCUUGUUGGUGGGGUGAUGGCCACCAAGGCGACGACGGGUAGCCGGCCUGAGAGGGCGACCGGCCACACUGGGACUGAGACACGGCCCACGACUCCUACGGGAGGCAGCAGUGGGGAAUCUUGCGCAAUGGGCGGAAAGCCUGACGCCAGCGACGCCGCGUGAGGGAUGACGGCCU
rnacentral:rRNA from 1 species